AUUGAACGCUGGCGGCAGGCUUAACACAUGCAAGUCGAACGAGUGGCGGACGGGAGAGUAAUGCUUGGGAAUCUGGCUUAUGGAGGGGGAUAACGACGGGAAACUGUCGCUAAUACCGCGUACCAUAGGAUGAGCCCAGGUGGGAUUGGGUAGUUGGUGGGGUAAUGGCCUACCAAGCCGACGACCUCUAGCUGGCCUGGGAGGAUGACCAGCCACACCGGGACUGAGACCCGGCCCGGACUCCAACGGGAGGCAUCGGAGGGGAAUAUUGGGCAAUGGCGGCAACCUGACGCAGCCAUGCCGCGUGAAUGAAGAAGUCUUGCGGGUUGUAAAGUUCUUUCGGUGAGGAGGCGUUAAUCACAGAAGAAGCACCGGCUAACUCCGUGCCAGCCGCCGCGGUAAUAC
rnacentral:rRNA from 1 species